GAUGAACGCUGGCGGCGUGCCUAAUACAUGCAAGUCGAGCGAACAGACGAGGAGCUUGCUCCUCUGACGUUAGCGGCGGACGGGUGAGUAACACGUGGAUAACCUACCUAUAAGACUGGGAUAACUUCGGGAAACCGGAGCUAAUACCGGAUGAUAUAUUGAACCGCAUGGUUCAAUAGUGAAAGACGGUUUUGCUGUCACUUAUAGAUGGAUCCGCGCCGCAUUAGCUAGUUGGUAAGGUAACGGCUUACCAAGGCAAUGAUGCGUAGCCGACCUGAGAGGGUGAUCGGCCACACUGGAACUGAGACACGGUCCAGACUCCUACGGGAGGCAGCAGUAGGGAAUCUUCCGCAAUGGGCGAAAGCCUGACGGAGCAACGCCGCGUGAGUGAUGAAGGUCUUCGGAUCGUAAAACUCUGUUAUUAGGGAAGAACAAAUGUGUAAGUAACUAUGCACGUCUUGACGGUACCUAAUCAGAAAGCCACGGCUAACUACGUG
rnacentral:rRNA from 1 species